GAACAGUCUCUGCAGGAGACUAUUAGGGGGGCCAGCACUCGUUGCUAUGUAUUAACUUGCAUACGUUUGCAGAAAAAAUUUAGAUCUUUAAAUACUGAUGGAGCAUUUACCCCAUGGAAGUCGCUCAGCUAGAAAACGGAGAAAAUGCAGCACUGUCCCUGCCUGCCUUCAAGGAGCUCACGAAAUUAAUCUCUUCACCAUUGUAUCUUGCAUAUAUUUAUUUUUGGGUUCACGUAUUUCAAUACUGGCAUCCAGAAGAUGCACAGGAAACAACUCUGUUCCAAUGCAUCACCAUUUUCAUAAUGAGUGGGGAGAGGCCCCGAGGGUAAGAGGUCGACUUUUGGACAAGAGGAAGAUGAAUCUGUUCUCCUUGUCCCUCUGCUGCCUGAAUCACCUGAAGCAGACAGACCUGGACUUUGUUACAGACUAUGAGUUUGGCUGGGAAUUCAGCUGCACGUGA
rnacentral:lncRNA from 10 species